UACGUAGGGGGCAAGCGUUGUCCGGAAUUAUUGGGCGUAAAGGGCUCGUAGGCGGUUUGUCGCGUCGGGAGUGAAAACCUCGGGCUUAACUCGGGGCUUGCUUUCGAUACGGGCAGACUGGAGGUAUGCAGGGGAGAACGGAAUUCCUGGUGUAGCGGUGAAAUGCGCAGAUAUCAGGAGGAACACCGGUGGCGAAGGCGGUUCUCUGGGCAUGACCUGACGCUGAGGAGCGAAAGUGUGGGGAGCGAACAGG
rnacentral:rRNA from 1 species